rnacentral:rRNA from 1 species
AACGCUGGCGGCAUGCCUUAACAUGCAAGUCGAACGGUAACAGGUCUUCGGAUGCUGACGAGUGGCGAACGGGUGAGUAAUACAUCGGAACGUGCCCGAGAGUGGGGGAUAACGAAGCGAAAGCUUUGCUAAUACCGCAUACGAUCUCAGGAUGAAAGCAGGGGACCGCAAGGCCUUGCGCUCACGGAGCGGCCGAUGGCAGAUUAGGUAGUUGGUGGGAUAAAAGCUUACCAAGCCGACGAUCUGUAGCUGGUCUGAGAGGACGACCAGCCACACUGGGACUGAGACACGGCCCAGACUCCUACGGGAGGCAGCAGUGGGGAAUUUUGGACAAUGGGCGCAAGCCUGAUCCAGCCAUGCCGCGUGCAGGAUGAAGGCCUUCGGGUUGUAAACUGCUUUUGUACGGAACGAAAAGACUCUGGUUAAUACCUGGGGUCCAUGACGGUACCGUAAGAAUAAGCACCGGCUAACUACGUGCCAGCAGCCGCGGUAAUACGUAGGGUGCGAGCGUUAAUCGGAAUUACUGGGCGUAAAGCGUGCGCAGGCGGUUAUGUAAGACAGAUGUGAAAUCCCCGGGCUCAACCUGGGAACUGCAUUUGUGACUGCAUAGCUAGAGUACGGCAGAGGGGGAUGGAAUUCCGCGUGUAGCAGUGAAAUGCGUAGAUAUGCGGAGGAACACCGAUGGCGAAGGCAAUCCCCUGGGCCUGUACUGACGCUCAUGCACGAAGCGUGGGGAGCAAACA